AUGGGGAGCGAAAAUUAUAGUAGCGAAGGUCAUGAUCUCACACUGCCAAGAAAAGCCUCUAGCCAGGUGAUGGUGCCCGUACCGCAAACCGACACAGGUAGGCGAGAAGAGAAUUCUAAGGCGCGCGGAAGAACUCUCGUUAAGGAACUCGGCAAAAUGACCCCGUAACUUCGGGAGAAGGGGUGCCCCGGUAGUGUGAAUAGCACGAGGGGGCCGCAGUGAAAAGGCCCAAGCGACUGUUUAGCAAAAACACAGGUCUGUGCGAAGCCGUAAGGCGAAGUAUACGGGCUGACGCCUGCCCGGUGCUGGAAGGUUAAGGGGAGCGGUUAGGAGCAAUCCGAAGCUGUGAACCGAAGCCCCAGUAAACGGCGGCCGUAACUAUAACGGUCCUAAGGUAGCGAAAUUCCUUGUCAGGUAAAUUCUGACCCGCACGAAUGGCGUAACGACUUGGGCGCUGUCUCAACGAGAGAUCCGGUGAAAUUUUAAUACCUGUGAAGAUGCAGGUUACCCGCGACAAGACGGAAAGACCCCAUGGAGCUUUACUGCAGCUUGAUAUUGAAUUUGGGUACGAUCUGUACAGGAUAGGUGGGAGCCUUUGAAGCAUGAGCGCCAGCUUGUGUGGAGGCACCGUUGGGAUACCACCCUGAUCGUAUCUAGGUUCUAACCUGGUACCGUAAUCCGGUGCGGGGACAGUGUCAGGUGGGCAGUUUGACUGGGGCGGUCGCCUCCUAAAGAGUAACGGAGGCGCCCAAAGGUUCCCUCAGAAUGGUUGGAAAUCAUUCGAAGAGUGCAAAGGCAUAAGGGAGCUUGACUGCGAGACCUACAAGUCGAGCAGGGACGAAAGUCGGGCUUAGUGAUCCGGUGGUACCGCAUGGAAGGGCCAUCGCUCAACGGAUAAAAGCUACCCUGGGGAUAACAGGCUUAUCUCCCCCAAGAGUCCACAUCGACGGGGAGGUUUGGCACCUCGAUGUCGGCUCAUCGCAUCCUGGGGCUGAAGUAGGUCCCAAGGGUUGGGCUGUUCGCCCAUUAAAGCGGUACGCGAGCUGGGUUCAGAACGUCGUGAGACAGUUCGGUCCCUAUCUGUCGUGGGCGUAGGAAAUUUGAGAGGAGCUGUCCUUAGUACGAGAGGACCGGGAUGGACGUACCGCUGGUGUACCAGUUGUUCCGCCAGGAGCACCGCUGGGUAGCUAUGUACGGAAGGGAUAAGCGCUGAAAGCAUCUAAGCGUGAAGCCCCCCUCAAGAUGAGAUUUCCCAGUAUGUAAGACCCCUUGAAGACGACGAGGUAGAUAGGCUGGGGGUGGAAGUGCAG
rnacentral:rRNA from 1 species